rnacentral:rRNA from 1 species
UACGUAGGUGGCAAGCGUUGUCCGGAUUUACUGGGCGUAAAGAGCGCGCAGGCGGCUGGCCAAGUCCGAUGUGAAAUCUCCCGGCUUAACUGGGAAACUGCAUCGGAAACUGACCGGCUUGAAGGUGGGAGAGGGUAGUGGGAAUUCCCGGUGUAGUGGUGAAAUGCGUAGAUAUCGGGAGGAACACCAGUGGCGAAGGCGACUACCUG